GACUAUGUCCCAUGAAUUUGCACUCUAAGCAGACUUCCUAGGUAACUCUGAAACAGGUGGUCUGUAGACCACACUUUAAGAAUUAUCUUCAAGGAUUGGGCUAGUUUUAGUUUGUAGUGAUUUCUUGUGUCUCUUAAUGAAGGCCUAGACAAUAUAGUCUGGAUUGAUUGGAUAAACACAGAGGAACAAGAGCGCGGCAGAAUUGUACCAUGCAUGCAGCAGGCCAUGCUCUACACGGGCCUCUCAGGAUGCAGCAGAGAGGUACCCUGGAUAUACAGGCUUUUUGGAAUACUGAUGUGAGUGUUGAGGCCAGAAAAAUGAAGCUAGGUGGUAUUGGAGGAGAAUCUCUGAAGACUGCUCUCAGUAGGCUGACAACAAGUUAAGAUGAAUGUGUAACUGUUUUCUACAUUCUUCUUACUGCUAUAAAAAUAAUUGAAAUGCAGAAUGCUUAACUUCAUUCAGCUGUAAGCCUUGUAAGAACAUCAAUAAAAAUUUAAAAAUUCUAUUCCUGUUCUUUCAUUUUUCUAGUUUCCCUGGGUGUCUCUCAUCACCCUGCCUAAUCCUUUCCUACAAAACUUUUCUUCUUGAAACUUGAGCUCUACUUUUAUUACUUUUUCCAUUAUGUAAAAGGUAACUUAAAAAAAUGUAUAAAACAUUUAUGUGUUUAUGUUACAGUUUUGACAGUUGUGGAAAAAAGUGAAAUUGGUUAUUGCUACCUCAAUGAAAUUAUUUUGUUAAUACUUCAAAGAUAAUUUUUAUGUAAUUCACACUGGAGACAAGUUUGAUUAUUGAUUUCUAUAAUAGAACAUAAUUAUUUUGGGUGGGAACAUUUAAAUUUGCCUGAAAAAAGGCUGUUUUUCAUCUAAGCCUUUAAAACGGCUGGAAUUUAUCACAUGUUAAAAGUUUAGGGUCUGACCAGGUGAUAUAGAAAUGACCAACCAUUUCUUCCAUAAGCUUACUAGUAAAUGGAGAAGGCAUUUUUGGUAAAUACUAUAAUCUUCUCUUGCAUUAGAUUGAUUAGAUUUUUCCUUUUUAAAAUUUCUUUAAAGUGACAAGUGUAAAAAUAGACUAGUGAGGACUAAAUUAUUUCUACUCAGAAUGAUUUUAUUUGUUCAUAACUAUUCUAGAAGAAAGUGAAAAACUUUAAGUAUAUAUGGAGUUUGAUGCAAUAUGAAAUGUAUGAGUGUGGUAUUUUAGCUAUCUGGUGCAAUAUAAGGUCAUUACUUUGGAAGAAAAAUUUCAUAUCCUUAUAGGUCCCCAUGAUAGUCUUUUGCACCAAUGAAAGAAUAUAAAACAUUAGCUCAGCCUCUUGGUUUAUAAUCUGUGAAGUUUUGAGUAUAUUGUUGAGUUUUAAAAACAAGGAAACGUGAAUUAUAAAGAAAUCUUAAGUGUUGCGGUUGAAUGCAAAAGUUAGUUCAUUUGGGGGAAGUAUAUUGGCUCAAUCCUAUAGGCUAAUUAUCCAAAUUUUAUUAAGAUUGGAUAUAUUUCCAUCACAGAUUUCUUUAUUUCUAGUUGACUUAGGAUAGUUUCAUACUGGUAACAAUAAAAAAAGAGAGUUAAAAUAAUUACCAGAAUACUUCAAGUGAGAAAGUGAUUCUCCUUAAAUAUUAAGUUUAAUGAGGCUAAAAAUGUUCUUUUGGGUAACCUCUGAGCCAGUCUUCCCUAACCCACCUACAGUAGUGAACCAAAUUUAGUACCUAAUGCAAAUAUAUUUUU